rnacentral:lncRNA from 1 species
CCAAUAUUUACAAAGCAGCGUGGUCCUGCACCAUGGACGUGCAUCUUCAACCCCACAGGAGCCGAAGUGCGAGAAUCAGCUGCUGAUUGGCUCUUGGCUUUUGCUUCAUCUGUUGACCAAUUCGCAAGGACUAUUUUCCAGUCAUUCUCACUGAUGUAUUUAGGUUGCUUGUUCUUUUUCCUUUUUUGGCUUAUGCGUCCGCAGAUAGUCACUUGAGUCUGAAGCUUCCACGCAGUUGAGCAAGUUUGGCUAUCUCCAUCUGGAGAACCAUCUUCUAACAUCUCUUCAACUGCUUGCUCAACCUCUAGAACCAGUUGCUCAGUUCGUUCGUCCAUGAAGGUCCCGUCUUUGCGAGUAUGUGUCUUGCUUGCAAGGUCUGUAUAUGAAGGUAGUGUAUCCAAACCUUGGUCGAUCAUCUACAACAAAGGAACAACAGAAAGUUAGACUUUUAGCAGUUAAAUAAAUAAAAAAAAUGCAAGUAAGACAAGUUGGAAAGCUGACCAUACGAUACCCAAUAUUUACAAAGCAGCGUGGUCCUGCACCAUGGACGUGCAUCUUCAACCCCACAGGAGCCGAAGUGCGAGAAUCAGCUGCUGAUUGGCUCUUGGCUUUUGCUUCAUCUGUUGACCAAUUCGCAAGGACUAUUUUCCAGUCAUUCUCACUGAUGUAUUUAGGUUGCUUGUUCUUUUUCCUUUUUUGGCUUAUGCGUCCGCAGAUAGUCACUUGAGUCUGAAGCUUCCACUUAAAGUGGAUUUCCUCAUGAAGACUGUCUUCCCAGUAGUAUUGUUG